UACGUAGGGUGCGAGCGUUGUCCGGAAUUACUGGGCGUAAAGAGCUCGUAGGUGGUUUGUCGCGUUGUUCGUGAAAACCGGGGGCUUAACCCUCGGCGUGCGGGCGAUACGGGCAGACUGGAGUACUGCAGGGGAGACUGGAAUUCCUGGUGUAGCGGUGAAAUGCGCAGAUAUCAGGAAGAACACCCGUGGCUAAGGCGGCUCUCUAGUACGGUACUGACGCUGAGACGCGAAAGCGUGGGGAGCGAACAGG
rnacentral:rRNA from 1 species